GUGGAUUAGAUACCCUGGUAGUCCACGCCGUAAACGAUGUCGACUUGGAGGUUGUGCCCUUGAGGCGUGGCUUCCGGAGCUAACGCGUUAAGUCGACCGCCUGGGGAGUACGGCCGCAAGGUUAAAACUCAAAUGAAUUGACGGGGGCCCGCACAAGCGGUGGAGCAUGUGGUUUAAUUCGAUGCAACGCGAAGAACCUUACCUGGUCUUGACAUCCACAGAACUUUCCAGAGAUGGAUUGGUGCCUUCGGGAACUGUGAGACAGGUGCUGCACGGUCGUCGUCAACU
rnacentral:rRNA from 1 species